GUAGUUUAUCAAUUACUUUUUUCUUUAUGCAGAUUUGGACUUCGUUUUGAUUUUCUUUUGUAUUUUUGGUUUCUUCUAUAUUGUUUUCUUGUUUGUUUGUAUUUUUAUUAUUUAUUUUGUGAUUGGAUGUUAAAACACCUGAAUUCUAAUCCCACAUUAAUGUUUAUUUCUUUUUUAUAUAGCUUUUAAAAGCUGAGAGGGUGGUGCAGGAGAAAAUUAAGAAGGAAGAACUACAAUUAAUUAUGGAAUUAAAAGGCAAAGUUCACGUUUUUGUUCGAGUGCGCCCUUUGCCCCCUGAUGAGGCUGCCAAAAGAGUUAAAAUUUUGAUUACCUUCUCUAAAGCAAUCAAAGCUGGUGGCCAGGGCGUUGACUUGCAUUUUAAAGGAAAAGUAUAUCAUUUCGCAGUUGAUGAGAGAUUUUCUGAGGAUGCUUCUCAAGAAGACAUUUACAAAGAAAUAUCCCCGCUGGUGCAGACUGCACAUGAUGGCUCCAAGGU